CUUUCCUUCAAAAAGUUAAUUCUUCACUGGGAGAUCUUUUUGCCUUUGAAUUAUAUCCCUAACCUCAUCUACUAUGUCUAUUCCUAUCCCCUUUCCCUUUCCCAUCCCCAUUUCGACCUCUAUAAGAAUGUCUAUCCCUAUCCCUAACUUCAUGUUAAUCCUUAAAUCUAUUUUGAUUAUUAUUCCCUGACAACCUAUUCAUGGAAUUUGUGUAUAAGUAUUUUUCAUGUAUAGUAUUAAGGGGUUAAUUGGAGAGCAGAGAGGCCAGAUAAGUGGCUAGCAGGUACAAAUGAGUUAUUUAUGGAAUAGUUAUGAAUGCUGGAGAAAAAAAGGAUUGAAUAAAUUGAAAUUAAUAGAAUUAUUAUGAUUGCACAAAUUCCAGACUAACAACUUGAUAGAGAAACUUAAAAAAUACGUGAACAUAUCUGAAGUGAAUAUCAGAAAUCAGCCUGAGGAGACAGUAAAAGAAGAUAUAACAACAGGGCAAUUAUUGGCCGCAGAGGAUAUCAGUUUAGAUAUCACAAUUAAAAAAGAACAAGUAGAAGAAUUACUAGAACAGGAGAUCAGCAGUGGCAAACCUGCAAUGGGAAAAGCUCCAAUGCAGUUUUCCUGGUUUUGUUAAGAGAUGUGCAUUUUAUAAAUGGAUAACAAAAUUCUUAACAGACAAAAUGAUUUAUUUCUGCUGGAUUUUACCCCAAUUGGCUACCAUUUUGCUGUGUUUUUCCUUUAUAUAAAAGAACCUCAUUAUUUCUGUAUGGUUUCUCAGUUGUUCACAUCUUCCUCAAAUGGACUCUGGCAUAGAGGUAUCCAACUCACAACCUAUGGAUGUGGCCCCAAGAGAUCCAUUUCUUUUUGAGUUUGACAACACCAACAUAGAGGAAAAAAUAUAGGACAUAGAGUGUAUCUAGGGUCAAAUUGGAGCUUUGUCACUUCAACUUGUGUGAUUGAGGUUAUGUGAUUUCUGAUCAAUACGUUUGAGAUUUCUCAUCUAUAUAAAAUGAGGGGAUGGCACAAGUUGGCAUCCAGUGUUACUUCCAAAUCUACAUCAGGGAAACUUCAACUCCUUACAAGACAAAUCAUGUAUUAGUUGUGUUUAAUGUAGAGGAGGAAGCGGUAGAGAGAGAUGAUACCAUGCCACAUGCACAAAACUUUUAACUUAAUUGACUUCCAUUUCUUGUUUGUUUCUUUUUUUUAACAUAAAAGUCAAGUUAGGUUAUACCUAUUGUCUUCGAUAUAUGCCAACAUAGACAUGUGCCCCAUAAAAAACCAAAGUUCCUUUAACAUAUGGCUUUAUCUUUCUUAUGGAAUUGAAAUUUAUGAAUUUUUAUAGUGUGUUUCUCUUUAGGUAACUUUUUGCAUCAUAAUAGAAUAUAUUUUAUGCUUUAAUUAUUUCCCUCUCAAAUCUUGGAUGAUUCUAGCAAUGUCCAAGGAUACAAUUGGCGGAGUUUCUUUUGUUUUAAAAAACAUGAUAAACAAGUACAGAAUGUGCGCAAGCAGGAAGAAACUGACCUAAAGCUGCUGGUGUCUGACUGGACAGAAACUCAAGUUGGCCAUUGGUUAAAGAGUAUUGGAAUGAAAAAAUAUAUUCUGAAAUUUGAUUAUAAAAGAGUAAGCAGUCAAGAACUUCUUGAAUUAGACAAUGAUGCAUUAAAAUGCAUUGGAAUCACUAAGAAGAGAGAUCGCAAGAAAAUCCUUAAGGGAAUUAAGAAAAUUCAACAGACAGAAAAAAAUUAAUACAAUCUAACAAUUAAAUAUAUCAAAAAGAUAAUUCUGGAAGAUACAGCAAAAAUGAGAAAAAUAUAAUUACAUGAUAUUUACCUUUAA